UACAGAGGGUGCGAGCGUUAAUCGGAAUUACUGGGCGUAAAGCGUGCGUAGGUGGUUCGUUAAGUCUGUCGUGAAAGCCCCGGGCUCAACCUGGGAAUGGCGAUGGAUACUGGCGGGCUAGAGUGCGGUAGAGGGUGGUGGAACUCCCGGUGUAGCAGUGAAAUGCGUAGAGAUCGGGAGGAACAUCAGUUGCGAAGGCGGCCACCUGGACCAGCACUGACACUGAGGCACGAAAGCGUGGGGAGCAAACAGG
rnacentral:rRNA from 1 species